rnacentral:rRNA from 1 species
GACGAACGCUGGCGGCGUGCUUAACACAUGCAAGUCGAACGGAAAGGCCCUGCUUUUGUGGGUUGCUCGAGUGGCGAACGGAUGAGUAACACGUGAGUAACCUGCCCUUGACUUUGGGAUAACUUCAGGAAACUGGGGCUAAUACCGGAUAGGAGCUCCUGCUGCAUGGUGGGGGUUGGAAAGUUUCGGCGGUUGGGGAUGGACUCGCGGCUUAUCAGCUUGUUGGUGGGGUAGUGGCUUACCAAGGCUUUGACGGGUAGCCGGCCUGAGAGGGUGACCGGCCACAUUGGGACUGGGAUACGGCCCAGACUCCUACGGGAGGCAGCAGUGGGGAAUAUUGCACAAUGGGCGGAAGCCUGAUGCAGCAACGCCGCGUGCGGGAUGACGGCCUUCGGGUUGUAAACCGCUUUCGCCUGUGACGAAGCGUGAGUGACGGUAAUGGGUAGAGAAGCACCGGCUAACUACGUG